CCUACGGGUGGCAGCAGUGAGGAAUAUUGGUCAAUGGACGCGAGUCUGAACCAGCCAAGUAGCGUGAAGGAUGACUGCCCUAUGGGUUGUAAACUUCUUUUAUAUGGGAAUAAAAUGUUCCACGUGUGCGUUUUUGUAUGUACCUUACGAAUAAGGAUCGGCUAACCCCGUGCCAGCAGCCGCGGUAAUACGGAGGAUCCGAGCGUGACCCGGAUUUAUUGGGUUUAAAGGGAGCGUAGGUGGAUUGUUAAGUCAGUUGUGAAAGUUUGCGGCUCAACCGUAAAAUUGCAGUUGAAACUGGCAGUCUUGAGUACAGUAGAGGUGGGCGGAAUUCGUGGUGGAGCGGUGAAAUGCUUAGAUAUCACGAAGAACUCCGAUUGCGAAGGCAGCUCACUGGACUGCAACUGACACUGAGGCUCGAAAGUGUGGGUAUCAAACAGGAUUAGAUACCCCAGUAGUC
rnacentral:rRNA from 1 species